GAAAAAUUAGUUAAAUUAAAUAACACUAGAUUGUCAUUCUAAAAUUAAUAAUUCAAUUAAUUAUUUUUCU
rnacentral:tRNA from 2 species